rnacentral:snRNA from 1 species
GUGCUCCCUUUGGCAACACAUAUACAAAAAUUGGAAUGAUACAGCGAAGAUUGGCAUGGAUGACAUAUAAAUUUGUGAAACAUUUCAUAUUUUG